rnacentral:ribozyme from 16 species
UUUGUUUUUGUCUUUUCCCUUUUGUUUUGUUUCGUUUCUUCUUCUCUUUUUCUCUCUACCUAUCUG